rnacentral:rRNA from 1 species
GACGAACGCUGGCGGCGUGCCUAAUACAUGCAAGUAGAACGCUGAAGGAGGAGCUUGCUUCUCCGGAUGAGUUGCGAACGGGUGAGUAGCGCGUAGGUAACCUGCCUGGUAGCGGGGGAUAACUAUUGGAAACGAUAGCUAAUACCGCAUAAGAGUAGAUGUCGCAUGACAUUUGCUUAAAAGGUGCAACUGCACCACUACCAGAUGGACCUGCGUUGUAUUAGCUAGUUGGUGAGGUAACGGCUCACCAAGGCAACGAUACAUAGCCGACCUGAGAGGGGGAUCGGCCACACUGGGACUGAGACACGGCCCAGACUCCUACGGGAGGCAGCAGUAGGGAAUCUUCGGCAAGGGACGGAAGUCUGACCGAGAAACGCCGCGGGAGUGAAGAAGGUUUUCGGAUCGUAAAGCUCGGUUGUAAGAGAAGAACGAGUGUGAGAGUGGAAAGUUCACAGUGUGACGGUAUCUGACCAGAAAGGGACGGCUAACUACGUG